UGGGGAAUUUUGCGCAAUGGGGGAAACCCUGACGCAGCAACGCCGCGUGGAGGAUGAAAUCCCUUGGGAUGUAAACUCCUUUCGAUAGGGAAGAUAAUGACGGUACCUAUAGAAGAAGCCCCGGCUAACUUCGUGCCAGCAGCCGCGGUAAUACGAGGGGGGCAAGCGUUGUUCGGAAUUAUUGGGCGUAAAGGGUGCGUAGGCGGUUUGACAAGUCUUAUGUGAAAUCUUCGGGCUCAACCCGAAGUCUGCAUGGGAAACUGUCGGGCUUGAGUAUGGGAGAGGUGAGUGGAAUUUCCGGUGUAGCGGUGAAAUGCGUAGAUAUCGGAAGGAACACCUGUGGCGAAAGCGGCUCACUGGACCAUAACUGACGCUGAUGCACGAAAGCUAGGGGAGCAAACAGGAUUAGAUACCCCCGUAGUCC
rnacentral:rRNA from 1 species